rnacentral:rRNA from 1 species
UGCAGGCGCGUAAAUUGCCCAAUCUCGGCACGGGGAGGUAGUGACGAAAAAUAACGAUGCGAGACUCAUCCGAGGCCUCGCAAUCGGAAUGAGUACACUUUAAAUCCUUUAACGAGGAUCUAUUGGAGGGCAAGUCUGGUGCCAGCAGCCGCGGUAAUUCCAGCUCCAAUAGCGUAUAUUAAAGUUGUUGCGGUUAAAAAGCUCGUAGUUGGAUUUCAGUUCUGGACUGACGGUUCACCGCCCGGUGCACACUGUCACGCUCCGAACAGCCGUGACGCGCCGCUGGCUCGCACGGGGUGCUCUUCAUCGAGUGUCCCGCGUGGCCGGCAGAGUUUACUUUGAAAAAAUUAGAGUGCUCAAAGCAGGCUACACUUAUGGCCUGAAUGCCUAUGCAUGGAAUAAUGGAAUAGGACCUCGGUUCUAUUUUGUCGGUUUUCUGAACCCGAGGUAAUGACUAAUAGGAACAGGCGGGGGCAUUCGUAUUGCGACGCUAGAGGUGAAAUUCUUGGACCGUCGCAAGACGAACUACUGCGAAAGCAUUUGCCAAGGAUGUUUUCAUUAAUCAAGAACGAAAGUUAGAGGUUCGAAGGCGAUCAGAUACCGCCCUAGUUCUAACCCUAAACGAUGCUGACCAGCGAUCCGCCGGCGUUAUUCCCAUGACCCGGCGGGCAGCUUCCGGGAAACCAAAGUCUUUGGGUUCCGGGGGAAGUAUGGUUGCAAAGCUGAAACUUAAAGGAAUUGACGGAAGGGCACCACCAGGAGUGGAGCCUGCGGCUUAAUUUGACUCAACACGG